GGACAAAAUUAGUGUCUGUGUAAAAUCAACCAAGUCAAUCAGUGGAUGUGAGAUGCUGAGAGAGUCCCGCCGCAGGGGCUGGGAAAUGCAAGGAGCCUGCUGGGGGCAGUGAGUGGGAGAAGGAUAACAUCCUUCAGCUGGGUGGGAUGCUGCCACAGCCAAGAUGAGAGAAGGAAAGGCAAGAAAGACUGAAACCUGAUGUUGGAUUUCUUUGCUGAGAGCUGAGGAUCAGCCAGCUAACGAGGCAGUGAGUUCUGAGGGCAGAGGAAGAGCUCAGGACAUGGUUAGUGCUCAUUAGCAGCCAGAGAUGUGAGAGCUGUCAGCAUGGUGGUGCUUUGUGCUGGCCAAGCCUUUGACUGUCCCUGGAAGGAGGGCUCGCCCGCUGAUCCUGGUGGCACAGCUCCUAGCAGCUCCUCAGCCAGAACAGCCACUUUGAAGCUGCAGUGCUAAAGGCUUGAGAAAUUAAUUUUGCCUGUCAGAGAUUCAAAUGUAAGUGUGUGAACUGUAGUUCAGCAAGGUACGAACUCACCUGGCUGCGCUCCAGCUCUGGGAGUGCUACUCACUGCAGGGGAGGGGAGGCCAGCAAGUACCUGCCUGUGUAAGCUGGUAUUGUCUUCCACAUAAAACAUGGCCUUAAUUAAUAGCUAGCAUGAACCUAAGCCACUAUCUCUGUUAUCAAUUUGUGGAUGUGGUUGGAUUGUCUGUCUCCCAGGACAGUAAUAUCCCUUCAUCUUACUGCAAAUUGCUCGCAGCAUCCUUCUAUUACGCAGGCUUAAUGCUUGAAAAAUAGAGAUUUAAUACUCCACCAUAUCAGACUAAGUGAGGUCAAAGCAAUUCAUAUUCACGAUCCCACAAAGCUCCCUGACGGUGUUCCUGUGAGGAAUGUGAUGUGGAGGAUGCAAACUGGCGAGGUCCUGCCCCAGCUCCCGGCUGUCCCACACUGACAGGGACCAGGACAACCACCCAUGGUGGAAGCAUUGGCUCAUCCCUUGGAGGAGAGUGGGUGUGCACUGGGUGCAGUGGGUGGGGAGCUGUGGGGUCCCUGCCAGGCCGUGCCAGCCCCUGACCCUGCAUUGCUGCCGCCCCUUCCUGCAUUCCCUGUUUUGCCGGGUUUUCCUAGAGCAGAACGGCAGCAGCCUGUGCGUUUUGUGUGUGUGAUAGGAUCAGAGAGUGCUGCGGGGAUUCCCAGGGUGCUGGAGGUUCCCUGAUGUGUUUUUAAUGAGCAGGCUGAGCGUAACUUGUGUGCAAGUUUCCUCUGAACUGCUGGUUGUCACCUUGGCUCUGGGCAGAAAGCCUGCAAGUAACACAUCCUGUGUUCACAUGUUUAUUUUUGUCCUGAAACAUGUAUAUUUUGAGAGAAAAUAAUAGCUGGUGUUUGUGUGUUUCCUCCCCAGCAAGAAAAUAUAUAUCUCCAGGGUUGAUGCAUAUAUUGCCAGGAUGCGUUCCUUCUGCAUUUGCUUUUAUGUGUGUGCCAGGAUGUGGAUUUCACCUGCAACUCAUGAGGAAAUAUCUAAGCACAUAAAAUAAAUGGGAAGUUCAGUUUGGAGGGAUUUAUGUGCAGAAAUUAAACAUGGUUUAGGAGAAAUAUCCCUUUGCCCUGCACAAAACUGGUGUAAUGAACAUAAUUCUCCUAGUGUGAGCUGAAUGUCCAGGGGUUCUGCCCUCCCUGACUGCAGUGCAGUCCUGGGCUGGUGCACACCUUAAUGUGAAGCCUCAAGGAUGGGAGAUUCCUGGCCGAAGGCUUGGGAAUGGAAUGUGCUGGAACAAACCAGGUGGGCUCUGAGGUGUGCCAGGACUGGCUGGGACCAUGCAGGUGGUUUGUGGGCAGGGGCUGCUCCCUGGCCCUUGGGCCCAGGGGGGCCAGGCGGGAUACAAACAGUCUCCAAAGAGGGGCCCAGGAGUAGUUGCACAGAGGAGGUGACAGGCUGUUCUGGGAGACAGGAGGGGUUGGUUUGCCUUUUCCCAUUGCUGUCUGUUCAGACUGGUGCAGUCAGGGGCUUCUGUUCAAUCCCAAGGCUGUGACCAUCCACAGGAUGCUGCGUGCUCUGCCAAGGGUCAUUUCCAGAGGUCCCAGACCCUGAGCUGGCUCCAUUGUGGCUCAUCCCCAUCCGCUGGCUCCAGCACUCUUGUGUGAUGCUGGAGGUGGCACUGCAAAGGCUCCAUGCUUCUUUCCUGGCCUUAGGAAGCUCCCUCUUAGGGAGUUUAGACCUUGGAAAUGGGAUCUCUGAUGUGUACCUCUGUUAGUGGGCAACAAAGGGAAGAUUUAUAUCCCUGUGUUCAAGACCUGCAGGAAUUCCAAGAAUCUUUUAAGAGACUAAAGAUGAUCUGUAUCAUAGACUAUGUUUUCCUUGAGUAAAAGCUAUAUACUAUGUAGAAAAACUGUAGUUUGCUUCAACACUGGAAAAGUAGGAUUUUUUGAAACUUGGAGGUAAUGAGACUGGGACAGGGCUGAGGACUGCCAUGAGAAGACGAGACUUGUGCAUUUGUCAGCAAGAACCUGGAGGGGGGAGCAUGGCUAUCUCUGCUCCAGAGGAACACAUCCUGCUGGGAAGCAUCAGUGCUGCCAUGGUGGAGCAGGCUGCCUUCUUCAUGGACCAUGCUGGGCAGCAGCCCUUCCACUGAAAACACUGCUUCUCACAAGAACGGAUUGUUUCCAAGCCUGAGGAAUUCAAAGAGUGAAACUGCUGCUUUAAAAUUAGGUGUCACAGCUCACAGUGAUGGCUACACAAGUGCACUGAUUACAGCAGGAGGGGUGGCUGCAGAGCCGCUGGGGUCCCCUGCUGGGGCCAUCUCCUGGUGACCAUUGGGCUGAUGGAGUCAUGAGUGGAACCUCCACAGUGAAUGAUUCCGGGAAAGGAACUGCCAGGCGAGUGUUGUCCUCGGAGACACAGUGACACGCAGAUGAGCGCUGAGGGGUGGCUAAUUGCUCAGGGCAGGCUGACAUAAUGGAGCAGUUCUGAGAGCACCUCAGCUGCAGAGAUAUGUGCUGGCCCUCUGCUGCUGCCCUCCUGCACAGAUGCUCUCUCUCCUUCAUAGGAGAAAUCUCCCUUCCUUUCUCACCAAGAGGAGUCUGAAGAAUUGAGUGCCCAAAGAAUUUGCAUGGAAUUAUUCAUCCCGCUCAAGAUCUGCAGGACGCUCCUUCCCUCACUGUGCACAGACCAUGCCGGGGGUGGCACAUGCAGAUGGGCAGUGCUGGAGGGCACAAGUGAUUGCAGCAGCUCCUUGCUGCUCCCACACAGACUGUGGAUGCCAUGGGGUUACAGCUGGCCACGUCAGCAGCAGGAACGGAGCUCCGGCGUGUCCCUCUCCAUGGUGCAGGCUGGGCACAGGUGAAGGCAGCAGAAGCCAUCAAUCCUCUUCCUGGCUGACCCUGAGCUGCUGGUGCACAGGCAGGCUGGGCAGCAUCUGUCUGGGACACCUCUGAAGGGGUGAAGGUCAGAGAGUGUCUUGGGUCGUUUUGGUUUGUCUUUAAAAAACAAUUUUCCAUGAGCAGAAAAUGCAAGCCAGUCAGGGAUAGUUGGAUCUUCCUGGUGUGAUUCAUGAGAUACCUCACUGUCAGCCUGUGGAGUGCUCCAACACAGGAGCCAGUGCAAUGUCAGUGUGGGCCCCCCCGGUGCAGCCAUCCUCUCCCCCCACCACGCGAUUCAUGGGCUUUUACAUCUCUGCCAUGAGCCUGUUAAUCCAGCACCUGGCUCCAGCCACACCACCGGGACAAUUUAUGGUUCUUACAGAUCAAUUUCAUUAUCCCAAGGGGAAAAUCAGCAUCUUGUUAUGGACAAAAUGACAAUAAAUGAAACGACCAUUAAUUUACGAUCUUGCCACACAGUGGCACUCAAACAGAUUCCCAUUAAUGGCUUGUUAUUAUCACCUCCCAUACUAGGCUAAUAACAGUUCCUGGGAAAAGCUGCACUGAGCCCUGGGAAGGGGCUGCUGCUGGCUGUGUGGGACCCAGGCCUGUCCUGCAGUGGCAGAGCAGCCCCCAGCUCCACUGCCCUGUCCCACCGAGUCAGGGGGGAUGCAGCAGUCAUCCCUGGCUCUGGGGCCUGGGCACCCACUGGCAUUCUGGAGGGAGAUACUGCUGUUGUUCUCCGUGGGAUUUGGGAUUCAGAGCCUUUUGCAAAGGCACAGAGAAAAGCGAGGUUGGGCUGGUCACAUCCUCUGGGGACAAGGGACCAGGGUUACAUCUGUACAGGGGUGUGCUGGGCAUCAGGGACCCUUCUCCCAUACUCCUCUCCAUCCCCUUGCACUGAGGACAGUACCAGGGACAUCGUCUGCUGACAAGUAGCUCCUUUAGGCAGCAGUUUGAUUUUUGAUGCCCAUUGGUCCCACUCAUGGAAAAUGAAUUUGUGGAUUUUUGCAGACCAAGGUCGGUGGGAUCCCUGCCCGACUGAAGGCCACAGGGUCCCCGCCGUUCCCCGGGGCCAUGUCCUCUGCUGGCCAGCAGGAGGGAGCCGUGGUGCAGUCGUGCCAGUGGAGACUGAAAGACGGGAUGGAUGGAGGCUGCCAGGCAGAGAGGGGAGGAGCUGCCAGCUGACAGAGAGCUGCCCAGAGUGGAGCAAAAAGGUGGUUUUUCUGUUUGCUUGAGGCUCAAAAAACCCAGAAACAUUGGUUUGACAUUAAAUGACUUUUCAAAAACUUCUACAAAGCAGAGAGCUCCAUAAAACACAGAACAAAGGACAGCUUUUCUGUGUGUGGAAGUUCUUAAUUGGUCCAAAAUGAAGAACUUAAUGUCCUUACUGAAUUUUUACUUUUUAAGAACAUUAAAGGUGUCAGGUGGAAAACCACCAAAACUUCUGCUUAAAGCACUGUCCUUUUGAAAAGCCGAAUAAAUUGACAAUGCCAAACUCA